rnacentral:rRNA from 1 species
UACGUAGGGUGCGAGCGUUGUCCGGAUUUAUUGGGCGUAAAGAGCUCGUAGGCGGCUUGUUGCGUCGACUGUGAAAACCCGCGGCUUAACUGCGGGCUUGCAGUUGAUACGGGCAGGCUAGAGUUCGGUAGGGGAGACUGGAAUUCCUGGUGUAGCGGUGAAAUGCGCAGAUAUCAGGAGGAACGCCGGUGGCGAAGGCGGGUCUCUGGGCCGAUACUGACGCUGAGGAGCGAAAGCGUGGGGAGCGAACAGG